AGUCUCGUUCGUUAUCGGAAUGAGAACAAUUCAAAUCCUUUAACGAGGAUCUAGCGGAGGGCAAGUCUGGUGCCAGCAGCCGCGGUAAUUCCAGCUCCGCAGGUGUAUAUCUAUGCUGCUGCGGUUAAAAAGCUCGUAGUUGGAUCUGCGUGCUCGGAACUGGUUGGCUCACUGAGUUCAAACUGGUCUCCGGCGCUUUAUUGGCUGGUUUUCCCUUGAUGCUCUUAACCGGGUGUCUUGGGUGGCUAGCACGUUUACUUUGAAAAAAUUAGAGUGCUCAAUACAGGCGUAAAGCCUUGAAUAGUGGUGCAUGGAAUAAUAGAAUAGGACCUCGGCUCUAUUUUGUUGGUUUUCGGAACGCGAGGUAAUGAUUAAGAGGGACAGACGGGGGCAUUCGUAUUGCGACGUUAGAGGUGAAAUUCUUGGAUCGUCGCAAGACGGACGACUGCGAAAGCAUUUGCCAAGAAUGUUUUCAUUAAUCAAGAACGAAAGUUAGAGGUUCGAAGGCGAUCAGAUACCGCCCUAGUUCUAACCGUAAACGAUGCCAACUAGCGAUUCGCAGGCGUUAAACAACGACCUUGCGGGCAGCUUCCCGGAAACGAAAGUGUUCGGGUUCCGGGGGAAGUAUGGUUGCAAAGCUGAAACUUAAAGGAAUUGACGGAAGGGCACCACCAGGAGUGGAGCCUGCGGCUUAAUUUGACACAACACGGGAAAACUCACCCGGCCCGGACACCGUAAGGAUUGACAGAUUGAGAGCUCUUUCUUGAUUCGGUGGGUGGUGGUGCAUGGCCGUUCUUAGUUGGUGGAGCGAUUUGUCUGGUUUAUUCCGAUAACGAACGAGACUCUGGCCUACUAAAUAGUGGGCGGAUUCUUUCUGUCCGCAACACUUCUUAGAGGGACAAGCGGUGUUCAGCCGCACGAGAUUGAGCAAUAACAGGUCUGUGAUGCCCUUAGAUGUCCGGGGCUGCACGCGCGCUACACUGAAGGAAUCAGCGUGCUUUCUGACCUUGCCCGAAAGGGCUGGGUAACCCGAUGAAAAUCCUUCGUGAUUGGGAUAGGGACUUGCAAUUAUUUCCCUUGAACGAGGAAUUCCCAGUAAGUGUGGGUCAUAAGCUCGCGUUGAUUACGUCCCUGCCCUUUGUACACACCGCCCGUCGCUGCCCGGAACUGAGCCGUUUCGAGAAGAACAGGGACCGUCGUUGAAGGGCCUUAACGGGCUUUUCUCUGAUAGAAACUGUU
rnacentral:rRNA from 1 species